UACGUAGGGUGCAAGCGUUGUCCGGAAUUAUUGGGCGUAAAAGAGCUCGUAGGCGGUUCGUCGCGUCGGCUGUGAAAACCCGGAGCUCAACUCCGGGCCUGCAGUCGAUACGGGCGGACUUGAGUGUUGCAGGGGAGACUGGAAUUCCUGGUGUAGCGGUGAAAUGCGCAGAUAUCAGGAGGAACACCGGUGGCGAAGGCGGGUCUCUGGGCAACUGACUGACGCUGAGGAGCGAAAGCGUGGGGAGCGAACAGG
rnacentral:rRNA from 1 species